rnacentral:rRNA from 1 species
AUGCAGAUUAUGCCUGAGUUGCAGGAGCUUUGUGGGGAAUCAUCUAUGGUGUUACCGAUGGAGCUGGGCUCAUUGGAGUCCUUGGUGGUGGCCAUGACACCCUCGCUACCUCAGUCGCCCGCCUUUGUGAACAAUGGAGACUUGGUUGGUUCUAUCACUGCCUCAUCUAUGGCCAUUGGGCAUGUGGCGUCUUUGAGUGGAGAGGUUGAUGAGACAUGUGUGUUGGCACCUAACUCUGAGCAAGUGGAGACGCCUGAGUCCAUCGUGUCAGUGAUACCUGUGACUGAUGAUGUUGAGGCGGUUGGUACAUUGGCGCCCGAUCCUUCUGAGCCCAACCAACAGCUCGCCCGUGUGGAGCGUGGAGGCUCCGAUGUUGCGGGCACCCACUCGCACGUGAUUGUUGGGCAGGUUUCUAUGCGUGACAAGGUCAAUGAGAUUCUCUUUUAG